rnacentral:rRNA from 1 species
AUACGGAGGGUUCAAGCGUUAAUCGGAAUUACAGGGCGUAAAGCGCGCGUAGGCGGUUUGGUAAGUCGGAUGUGAAAGCCCCUGGCUCAACCUGGGAAUUGCAUUCGAUACUGUCAGGCUAGAGUAUGGUAGAGGGAAGCGGAAUUCCAGGUGUAGCGGUGAAAUGCGUAGAUAUCUGGAGGAACAUCAGUGGCGUAGGCGGCUUCCUGGAUCAAUACUGACGCUGAGGUGCGAAAGCGUGGGGAGCAAACAGGAUUAGAAACCCCGGUAGUCC